rnacentral:rRNA from 1 species
GACGAACCGUCCAAACGUUAUUCGGAAUCACUGGGCUUACAGAGUUCGUAGGCGGUCUGGAAAGUUGGGUGUGAAAUCCCUCGGCUCAACCGAGGAACUGCGCUCAAAACUACCCGACUCGAGGGAGAUAGAGGAAAGCGGAACUGAUGGUGGAGCGGUGAAAUGCGUUGAUAUCAUCAGGAACACCGGUGGCGAAGGCGGCUUUCUGGGUCUUACCUGACGCUGAGGAACGAAAGCCAGGGGAGCGAACAGG